UACGGGGGGGGCAAGCGUUGUUCGGAAUUACUGGGCGUAAAGGGCUCGUAGGCGGCCAACUAAGUCAGACGUGAAAUCCCUCAGCUUAACUGGGGAACUGCGUCUGAUACUGGAUGGCUUGGAUUUGGGAGAGGGAUGCGGAAUUCCUGGUGUAGCGGUGAAAUGCGCAGAUAUCAGGAGGAACACCGGUGGCGAAGGCGGUUCUCUGGGCCUUACCUGACGCUCAUGCACGAAAGCGUGGGGAGCAAACAGG
rnacentral:rRNA from 1 species